rnacentral:rRNA from 1 species
AGCGGCGGACGGGUGAGUAACACGUGGGUAACCUGCCUGUAAGACUGGGAUAACUCCGGGAAACCGGAGCUAAUACCGGAUAGUUCCUUGAACCGCAUGGUUCAAGGAUGAAAGACGGUUUCGGCUGUCACUUACAGAUGGACCCGCGGCGCAUUAGCUAGUUGGUGAGGUAACGGCUCACCAAGGCGACGAUGCGUAGCCGACCUGAGAGGGUGAUCGGCCACACUGGGACUGAGACACGGCCCAGACUCCUACGGGAGGCAGCAGUAGGGAAUCUUCCGCAAUGGACGAAAGUCUGACGGAGCAACGCCGCGUGAGUGAUGAAGGUUUUCGGAUCGUAAAGCUCUGUUGUUAGGGAAGAACAAGUGCAAGAGUAACUGCUUGCACCUUGACGGUACCUAACCAGAAAGCCACGGCUAACUACGUGCCAGCAGCCGCGGUAAUACGUAGGUGGCAAGCGUUGUCCGGAAUUAUUGGGCGUAAAGGGCUCGCAGGCGGUUUCUUAAGUCUGAUGUGAAAGCCCCCGGCUCAACCGGGGAGGGUCAUUGGAAACUGGGAAACUUGAGUGCAGAAGAGGAGAGUGGAAUUCCACGUGUAGCGGUGAAAUGCGUAGAGAUGUGGAGGAACACCAGUGGCGAAGGCGACUCUCUGGUCUGUAACUGACGCUGAGGAGCGAAAGCGUGGGGAGCGAACAGGAUUAGAUACCCUGGUAGUCCACGCCGUAAACGAUGAGUGCUAAGUGUUAGGGGGUUUCCGCCCCUUAGUGCUGCAGCUAACGCAUUAAGCACUCCGCCUGGGGAGUACGGUCGCAAGACUGAAACUCAAAGGAAUUGACGGGGGCCCGCACAAGCGGUGGAGCAUGUGGUUUAAUUCGAAGCAACGCGAAGAACCUUACCAGGUCUUGACAUCCUCUGACACCCUAGAGAUAGGGCUUUCCCUUCGGGGACAGAGUGACAGGUGGUGCAUGGUUGUCGUCAGCUCGUGUCGUGAGAUGUUGGGUUAGUCCCGCACGAGCGCACCCUUGAUCUAGUUGCCAGCAUUAAUUGGGCCUCUAAGGUGAUGCCGUGACAACCGAGGAAGGGGGGGAGAAGUCAAAUAUCAGGCCCUAUGACGGGGGUACC